AUUGAACGCUGGCGGCAUGCCUUACACAUGCAAGUCGAACGGCAGCACGGGUGCUUGCACCUGGUGGCGAGUGGCGAACGGGUGAGUAAUAUAUCGGAACGUACCUUAUUGUGGGGGAUAACGCAGCGAAAGCUGUGCUAAUACCGCAUAAUCCCUAAGGGGGAAAGCGGGGGACCGUAAGGCCUCGCGCAAUUAGAGCGGCCGAUACCUGAUUAGCUAGUUGGUGAGGUAAAGGCUCACCAGGGCAACGAUCAGUAGCUGGUCUGAGAGGACGAUCAGCCACACUGGGACUGAGACACGGCCCAGACUCCUACGGGAGGCAGCAGUGGGGAAUUUUGGACAAUGGGGGCAACCCUGAUCCAGCAAUGCCGCGUGAGUGAAGAAGGCCCUCGGGUUGUAAAGCUCUUUUGUCAGGGAAGAAACAGCAGCUCUAACACAGUUUGCGAAUGACGGUACCUGAAGAAUAAGCACCGGCUAACUACGUGCCAGCAGCCGCGGUAA
rnacentral:rRNA from 1 species